AUUCUCUCUCUCUCUCUUCUUUCUCUCUCUCUCUCUAGAAAGGGAUCGCUACCUGCCCGAUCAGCAAUAGCUCGCUCGCUUCCUUCGCGGGUUUCUCUCUCUACUCCCUCUCCAUGGCUUCUGCCUCGAAGCACAACCACCCUUCCUCCUCCUCCUCCUCAAAGCCACCCCUCAAGAACCCUAAUUUCCCCCAAUCGGACCCCAGAACCCCGCCGCCCCCACGCCGUCGCCUCCACCAGCGGCGGCGGCGGCGGCGGGCCCUGGCGCCGGGGCGCGAGGACUCGGCCCUCGCCCGCGCCUCCCACCUCACGCGCCCGGAGGUGCUGCGGCGGCGGUCGCGCCGACUCAGGCAGCUCUCGCGGUGCUACCGGGACCACUACUGGGCGCUCAUGGAGGAGUUCAAGGUGCAGUACCGGGAUUUCUACUGGAAGUACGGGGAGAGCCCCUUCAAGGAGGAGAAUCAGCGGGUGGAGGCGGACGGGUCGGAGCGGGACGGGCCGAACGGGGAAGGCAUCGGGGAGAACGUCGGGAACAGUGUCGUGGGUAGGAUCGAGUUCGAGGCGAGGGGCAAUAAUCAUAGGUGCGCGUUCGUCGGGUGUAAGUUGAAGGCCAUGGCUUUGACGAGCUUUUGCCAUUUGCAUAUAUUGUCCGAUUCGAAGCAGAAGCUCUACAAGGCUUGCAGCUAUGUCAUCAAAAGUGCUCAGGCGGGACCAAUAACAUGUGGGAAGCCAAUACUGAGAUCCACCGUUCCUUCUCUUUGUACCAUCCACUUCCAGAAAGCUCAAAAGCACGUCACCCGGGCUUUGAAGAAGGCAGGACUUAAUGUUACUUCAUCUAGUAAACUUGCUCCAAAAUUCCAUGUCAUAGUGGCAGAAUAUGUGCGGCAAAUUCAAGCCAAAAGAAGGGCUGCACAGAGGGCCAAUACUAGUGAAGUUGUGGUUAAGGAAGAGACCAUGAGCUGAGUCUCUAUUGCCAGUGACUGCAAAUCAGAAAUUGUUGCAUGAGUGCAUGAGUUUGUAGGCACAAGACAAACCUGAGGUGGUUUGUGGGAACUGAAACAGAUGGAAGUUGUACAUGUUGCAGUCUUGAGGCACUUUCCUCAGUGCAAGAGCUUGUUGAGAGAUGUUGUCUUCUCGGCUAGUCCAUAUGUAUUUUCUUUGCAAGUGUCCCAUGCGAUCGUGUCUUUAUAUUAAAUGUCCAACGAUGUUUAGUUGCAAAUUUUAGUCGGGCCUUCUUACUUCAAUGUACGCUGUACAGCCACAGAAUAUGUGAACACCCUACUCUCUUUGGGCGUGGCCGAGCGCUGUGUUUUUGACUUUCUUGUAGACAUUCUUGCUACACAUGUAUGCUCUCCCCUGAUAUGUUUUGGUCCUUGUCACCUUUGUUGUCAUAUAUAACAGUAUGAGAUGGACGCGUCGGUUCACUUUCGGAUAAAUCAGCUUCUCGACAUUUGUAGAAGAUGGGAUGAACUCAUGUCACGAGACGUGGUGACGCUAAUUUGUAAAGUUAAUCAGGUAUAGAGUAUGACGCCUAAUAGGUCAAA